rnacentral:rRNA from 1 species
UACGGGGGGAGCAAGCGUUGUUCGGAUUUACUGGGCGUAAAGGGCGCGUAGGCGGUCACGACAAGUCAGUUGUGAAAUCUCCGGGCUUAACUCGGAACGGUCAACUGAUACUGUCGGACUAGAGUGCAGAAGGGGCAACUGGAAUUCUCGGUGUAGCGGUGAAAUGCGUAGAUAUCGAGAGGAACACCUGCGGCGAAGGCGGGUUGCUGGGCUGACACUGACGCUGAUGUGCGAAAGCUAGGGGAGCGAACGGG